CCCAUCUGGGCAGAGGGAUCCUCCUCCCGUCACCACAGCUUUAGCACAAUGAAGCUAUUCAGGCUCUGCGCUGACACUCGGAGAAUAUGAUAAAGCCCUACCGAAGCAAAGGAGGACUUCUGCAGUGCUGGCUGGAGCUCAAGAAUGCUGUGGUUUCAACAGUUGCUUUCCUUUGGCUUUGGAACGACGUGGAGCCCACUGACUUUCUCAUUCAGAGGGAGACAGACCUCCUCCAGCUGUGGCUCACCUGAACCAUGGGAGACCCAGGCUCGCAGGAGGGACAGACCUGCUCAGGUCGGGUAUGAACCAGGAGGGACAGACCUGCUCAGGUCGGGUAUGAACCAGGAGGGACAGACCUGCUCAGGUAUUACUCAAAGGCUGCAUCUGAUGACUGUUCCUCUUAAUGAAGAGCCUUACCCAAGCGUUCCUGGUUAGCCUUGAAAGGCUGCAUUUGGAGUCGUUAUUGUAUUUCUUUCUUUUGAAGUGCCUUAAGAGUGAGGCAUAACAACCCUGUCUGAAAACCAGUACAUCCAUUAAUGACACCUGAUGCGCCUGUAGUAACUAUCCCCACCACCAAAGGAAGCUAAGACUGAUCUAAUUGUCUGCAAGCACUUCACGAGCAUUACUUCACUAAGUCUCAUUAAUUCUGUUUACAGAUGUAUCCAGUGUCAGUUAAUUGUUUUGUGAAACUACUACAGGGCAAACGAGAUGGAACAAACCUGCUAGGAAGCCCUUUUUGUCCUCAACCUUCCCUAGUUGCCUACUCUUUCAGAUAAAUAGAAGCGUUGGGGCCAUUAGUGAAGCCUCAAUUGCUCUGCCAAGCACCGGUCUCAGGGAACACAGAACCACUAAUCCUGAGGUGGCUUCAGUGAUAACUGCAGUGAAUGUGGAGCAGCAAUGCUCAGGCUACCAAGGGCAAGAAACAGCAGCAUUUAAACCCUGAGGAUGAUUAUAGCUUCUCAUUUUCUAGAAGCAGUUGAAAAUCAGCAGCCAGCUACUCUAGCUGCUUAUCAACAAGCUCUUACAGCCUUUUAAAGACAUCCAACGAAUUUUAACUAAUUCUUAAUAGGGGAAUUCUGCUCUUUUGCAAGUUGUCUGACAUUCCUUUCCAAGAUGUGGUUUAGUUGCAUGUGUUUUUUCACUUGGCUCCAAUUAAUAUCACAUUUGUUCAGAAAAGGAAAGCCAUGCAGUAUUCAGGGGGGAAAAGGUUUCCAUUUUACUUCUGCUUUAAAUGUGGUUACUGCAAGAUGCUGACUAAAGCAGAAACACAUGUCAACACAGGAUAAACUUUUUGAGCCCUAUUAACUUCAAAACAAAUAUUAACAUAAGGCUAAGCUAAGUGCAUUUUGAUUCUACCAAAACGAUCUGGUUUUCACAAAAGUGGGCUUGUGGCAGCACUGAGCCACUCUGAUUUCUAUCAGAAGUCACUCAAACCCAAUCCUGAAUGAAGCUGGACAAUUUUUUUCCCUCUCUUUAAAGUUAUCUUGACACCUUGCUAAUGGAGACUCUUCUUUUGGGAAACCAAAGCUUUUGCUUUUGGGAUCCACCCCCAUCUUCAGUUAAUUUCAGGCUAUGAUAGGGAGAUGGGGGUGUAAGUCUCAAAUGUAUCCAGACUUGUGGGGAGAGGCUGAUUUUGCAGCAAGAGGCUGCUGUUGCCAGCUAUCUUCUCAUGCCACUCACCUUCCAAUCACUGGAAGCCGUGAGCAGCUUUGGCACCGAGGCCUUGUGCCUGUCCCAACUGUUCCUUCACCCCUAAACAACUUCAGACAAAGCAAAAUGAUAGACUUCCCCCCCAAGUACUGCUUCAAUGCCUACACUGAUGUGACCAUGUAAAUCACACUCUGUGCUACGUGUGCCUUGCUUUUCUCAGCACAGCAUCAGGAAAGGGGAACUCGCAGCAGUGAUUUGCAAUUUGAAAGUUUCCAUGCUGUGCCCCAGACACCUUCCUAGUUUCCACCUCUCCAACCAAAACCCUGGAGUUAAUUGGACUGCUGUGAGCUUGAUGAAUUUUUUAAUUAAUCAUAAAGAAAUUGAGAACUUUGGGCUUUCUAGGCUGGAAAAGAGCAGACUUGAGAGAGCCUCUUGUAAAUGUAUAUAAAUACCUAAAGAGUGGAGAUCAUGAGGAUGGGGCUGGGCUCUUCUCAGUUGCACCCAGUGAUAGGAUGAAGGGCAAUGGGUGCAAGCAGGAAGUUUUGCUUGAAA